GAUGAACGCUAGCGGCAGGCUUAACACAUGCAAGUCGAGGGGUAACAGGGAAGAGCUUGCUUUUCCGCUGACGACCGGCGCACGGGUGAGUAACGCGUAUAGAACCUACCUUUUACAGGGGAAUAGCCCAGAGAAAUUUGGAUUAAUGCCCUAUAGUAUUAUUGAAUGGCAUCAUUUAGUAAUUAAACAUUUAUGGGUAAAAGAUGGCUAUGCGUUCUAUUAGCUAGAUGGUAAGGUAACGGCUUACCAUGGCAACGAUAGAUAGGGGUCCUGAGAGGGAGAUCCCCCACACUGGUACUGAGACACGGACCAGACUCCUACGGGAGGCAGCAGUGAGGAAUAUUGGACAAUGGAGGCAACUCUGAUCCAGCCAUGCCGCGUGCAGGAAGACGGCCCUAUGGGUUGUAAACUGCUUUUAUACGGGAAGAAACCCAACUACGUGUAGUUGGCUGACGGUACCGUAAGAAUAAGCACCGGCUAACUCCGUGCCAGCAGCCGCGGUAAUACGGAGGGUGCAAGCGUUAUCCGGAAUCAUUGGGUUUAAAGGGUCCGUAGGCGGGCUAAUAAGUCAGGGGUGAAAUCCAACAGCUUAACUGUUGAACUGCCUUUGAUACUGUUAGUCUUGAAUUAUAUGGAAGUAGAUAGAAUGUGUAGUGU
rnacentral:rRNA from 1 species